rnacentral:rRNA from 1 species
CCUACGGGUGGCAGCAGUGAGGAAUAUUGGUCAAUGGACGAGAGUCUGAACCAGCCAAGUAGCGUGAAGGAUGACUGCCCUAUGGGUUGUAAACUUCUUUUAUAUGGGAAUAAAAUGUUCCACGUGUGGGAUUUUGUAUGUACCAUAUGAAUAAGGAUCGGCUAACUACGUGCCAGCAGCCGCGGUAAUACGGAGGAUCCGAGCGUUAUCCGGAUUUAUUGGGUUUAAAGGGAGCGUAGGUGGGUUGUUAAGUCAGUUGUGAAAGUUUGCGGUUCAACCGUGAAAUUGCAGUUGAAACUGGCAGUCUUGAGUACAGUAGAGGUGGGCGGAAUUCGUGGUGUAGCGGUGAAAUGCUUAGAUAUCACGAAGAACUCCGAUUGCGAAGGCAGUUCACUGGACUGCAACUGACACUGAGGCUCGAAAGUGUGGGUAUCAAACAGGAUUAGAUACCCGUGUAGUC